GGGGUUGUAGCUCAGUGGUAGAGCUCUCUCCCAGCACGCGUGAGGCACUGGGUUCCAUCCUCAGCACCACA
rnacentral:tRNA from 1 species